rnacentral:rRNA from 1 species
AACGAACGCUGGCGGCGCGUCUUAAGCAUGCAAGUCGGACGGCAAGGGUAGCAAUACCCCUAGAGUGGCGGACUGGUGAGUAACGCGUGGGUGACCUACCCUUGAGAUGGGGAUAGCCAUUAGAAAUAGUGGAUAAUACCGAAUACGCUCACGACCCUGUGGGGAUGUGAGGAAAUCAGGCUACGGCCUGGCUCGAGGAUGGGCCCGCGUCCCAUUAGCUAGUUGGUGAGGUAAAAGCCCACCAAGGCGACGAUGGGUAUCCGGCCUGAGAGGGUGUACGGACACAUUGGGACGGAGAUACGGCCCAAACUCCUACGGGAGGCAGCAGCUAAGAAUAUUCCGCAAUGGACGAAAGUCUGACGGAGCGAAGCCGCGUGGAUGAAGAAGGCCGAAAGGUUGUAAAAUCCUUUUGCUGAUGAAGAAUAAGUGUGGUAGGGAAUGACCGCAUGAUGACAUUAGUCGGUGAAUAAGCCCCGGCUAACUACGUGCCAGCAGCCGCAGUAA